rnacentral:rRNA from 1 species
UACGUAGGGAGCAAGCGUUGUCCGGAAUCAUUGGGCGUAAAGCGUGCGCAGGCGGUUUUGUAAGUCUGUCGUGAAAGCCCCGGGCUUAACCUGGGAAUUGCGAUGGAGACUGCAAGGCUUGAAUCUGGCAGAGGGGGGUAGAAUUCCACGUGUAGCAGUGAAAUGCGUAGAGAUCGGAAAGAACACCAACGGCGAAAGCACUCUGCUGGGCCGACACUGACACUGAGAGACGAAAGCUAGGGGAGCGAAUGGG